UGGACAUAUUAUUGUAUUCGGCUAUAUUCACGGCGUGAAAUAGGGGAUUACACUGUUUUAAAACUGAAAUUGAAUAAAUUAACAUAAUAGACUCCU
rnacentral:pre_miRNA from 1 species